GUUUUUCUUGAGGCAAGUCGAUGUUCGGUAACCGAAGUCUAUGCCCUUUUGUUGGUGAUUGGUCAACAGUACUACUAAUGACAGCUCCAAGCCUCAUCACCUCAUCGCCUCUCAUCCUAGCGGAAAUCACCUACUGUCUUCUCUUUCUACAUCUCUGUGGGAAUUGAGGAUGUCUCUCUCCAUCAAAGCAAAAUGAUGGUGAUGUAUUGUCCUGGAGGGAAGGUCAGUGACCGGAGCACAUGAGAAAACAAACUCAAGAGGCUCCUAUUAAAGAUUCAAAAAUGUCCGUUCAAAGGCGGUUAACGGCUGUAGUAAAUGUACUUGACAUUCUUUAAUGUCUCAUGGUCCUGUUGGUGUGAGCAGCAUACACAUCUUGGGUUCGGUCUGUUUAUAAUUUAAUUCCCAUAUAUCCAUUGUUGAUGUUUACAAUCAAAAUGCAAUUAAAAGUCCACAUAGACUGCAUGACAAUUGUGUGAAUAAUUCAUAUUUUUGACUGGCAACGUUUUUGUCUGGCAACUGUCAGAAGCAUUUAGCAAUCUAUUCAUUCAUAGUAACCUAAUAAUAACAUAUGCAGAACAUCUACAAAUUCUUUCCUCAGAGCAAUGAAGUGAUGUGACCUUUGCAGCAACAUUAACCAGUCUAAUACACAACCUGUUAUACUAACG
rnacentral:lncRNA from 1 species